CACCAUGGGCCCUGCGUCUGGAGGAUUGCACGCCUUCACCCUCCUCAAGAAGGCCAGGAAUGGAGUCGGGUGUUCGGGCACACCGUGGUCCGGCCAGGCCGUGAACUGGAACUGCCGCACCUCCCUCUUCUCACUCGAGCCGUUCUGAAAUAGGAGAAAGGGAGGCUGAUAAUGGCCAGAAGCUGGAGUCAGCGGGGGUUGAGAGCGGAUCAGCUACCAGAAUGAAGUCUUUGGAAGGCUGCUGCUGAGGUGAAAAAAUGCAACUCAGGUGCCCAUUAUGGUGAGGAGAAGAAAAAUGUUGUUCACCGUGACCUCUGAGUGACUGCUGCAAGCUCUAAGCCUGACUUCUUCACCUUCGGCAAGAAGAAGCAGAUAUUAAUAAUCAAAUGAAUGUUGAACCGGGAGUUCCCAGAGAAGGUGAGAAGACAUCAUUUGAAAUGUAUGUAAUGCUGCAUUCAUGUCAUGUCAAGAGUUAUUCUGUGUGAAUAGAUACUCAGGUGCAAGACAAAAUGUGCUUUACUACAAGAUACAAAGGAGGUCUGCACACUGAUGGGCUCCAGAUAAAUACUUAAUUUUAAUGUGUUGAUGAACGAUAUUUUUCUCUUUACCUAAUCCUCACCCUCUCUCAACAAGAUUCCACUUCAGUAGCACUUUCCAGUUUCAUUCCUAUCUGAUAUAAAGAUGUUUUGUUUGUUCAUGUACCAUUUAAUACAGAGUUUAAUUACUAAACCUUUUUAUUUUUUAUGGCUGUUGAAAGUAUUCUCUGAUUUAUGGAGUGAUACAAAGAGAUCCUAUCAGUAGAAAUCAUUUGACUGUAAUAUGUAAGCAAAAACAUGCAACAAUUAUUUUGAUACUGGUUUCAUCCAAUGUUCACAUUUCAUGUGGGGACUAAAAUAAAUAAAGAUAAUGCCUUGUA